AACGCGAAGAACCUUACCUGGGCUCGAAAUGGAGUGGACUGAGGUAGAAAUAUCUCUUUCUCGCAAGAGACUGCUCUAUAGGUGCUGCAUGGCUGUCGUCAGCUCGUGUCGUGAGAUGUUGGGUUAAGUCCCGCAACGAGCGCAACCCUUAUCGUUAGUUGCCAGCGGGUAAUGCCGGGCACUCUAGCGAAACCGCCUCGGAUAACGGGGAGGAAGGUGGGGAUGACGUCAAGUCCUCAUGGCCUUUAUGUCCAGGGCUACACACGUGCUACAAUGGUCGGUACAAACCGUCGCAAACCCGCAAGGGGGAGCUAAUCGGAAAAAGCCGACCUCAGUUCGGAUUGGAGUCUGCAACUCGACUCCAUGAAGCUGGAAUCGCUAGUAAUCGCAGAUCAGAACGCUGCGGUGAAUACGUUCCCGGGCCUUGUACACACCGGUACUA
rnacentral:rRNA from 1 species